rnacentral:miRNA from 1 species
AUUUUUUUAGGUUUUGAUUUUA